UACGGGCAAGGCAUUCAGUCUAAAAGAAUUUACACAAGUAUCUACUUAAUAAACGAUGAAAAUAAAUUAUGGACUGCCUUGCCAGCAAUAGAUGCAGAGAAGCCUUCGAAGAAUGGUAAAAUUGGAAUGGCAGUUGAGAGCGAUUCCAGUUCUGAAUCUGGUAGUCAAGGCAAGAGUGAUUCCAGUCGCCAGGAAGGGAGAUCAGGGGAAAUAAUAUGUUCCGUAGAUGGAGUUGCCGACGAUCUGAAAUCUGUGGGUAUGGGUAGUAGCCUACCUGAUAAUAAAGGCAUUGCUAGAGGAAGAGGAACAGAUGUCUACUCGUAGCUGUGAAAAAUAUCCAAUUAAGGACAAAGAUAAGCUAAUAAGCAACUUAAAAACAAUCCAGCAUUACCUUUCAAAGUAUAUUCAAGCAGAUUGUGAUUAUUGUACCCAUCUAUUUUAGAUUCAGAUAACUUUGCCAUCACAGUCUCCACUCAAAAGUGGGAAGUAUGACAAUUUAUCUUUAACAGUUAAAAUAAAGAUAUGGGAGGAGUUUCUCAUAUUAGUUGAGCAAGUCAUUUAUUUGGUAAGUUGCAUUCUAGGGCAAACAUGUAAUAUUUCUUUAAUGCUCAUUAUGUUUCACUAUGUGAGCAGGGUUUAACAGUUGUCAACAUAUCUGCAACAACCUUCCCCCAAAAAACUGGAUUGGCUACACAAUUAUCUACUCCAGGUAAUAUAUAUUCCUAAACAUUUGAGGUAGCUGAUACCUGCCUGGCCUUCUAGUUAUUCAUAGAUUGGGCAGACGGUGGGAAAUUAGAUUGCGUACUGAUCAUAGAUUGAUGAAUCAAAGGAUUUGGAAGAUCAUGUUACGCCCACUGCUUUCACCUGUUCUAAUGAUGAUCAUAUGCCUUCUCUCUCUAGAAGGGCUUGCAUCACCAUGUGGCAUGUGGAUGAGAAAAGGGAAAUGGUUGUUCUUAAAUGCAAGUCGGUAAUUUAAACCUCAAAACAAGUUCAUGGAUCAAGCUCUGCCUGUUAAAGAUCCGAAAUCUGUUAGCAUGAAUAAACAUGGUAGUAUUAAGAGAUGGAGCUUCGUUGGAUUCUGACUCUCCGCCCACUGCUGUAACUAAAUCUGAAUAAUUCUCUCUAAAUUUUUCCAGGUUUCUAUGCUAAUUUAUGUCUACAAUCUUUGACUACUUUGAGAUUUAUCUAGGUUUUACUAUAUAUCAAAACACAAGAAAAAGAUUUUUGUCACUGGAAUGUAAUGUUACAUUACUCAUCACUCUGUUGAGUAUUGAGUUAGAAGAGUAUAAAAGUACAUUGAAAUCUCUA